rnacentral:rRNA from 1 species
GGUAAAAGAUGAGUAUGCGUUCUAUUAGUUAGUUGGUAAGGUAACGGCUUACCAAGACCGCGAUAGAUAGGGGCCCUGAGAGGGGGAUCCCCCACACUGGUACUGAGACACGGACCAGACUCCUACGGGAGGCAGCAGUGAGGAAUAUUGGACAAUGGGCGCGAGCCUGAUCCAGCCAUGCCGCGUGCAGGAAGACUGCCCUAUGGGUUGUAAACUGCUUUUAUACAGGAAGAAACCUUUUCACGUGUGAAAAGCUGACGGUACUGUAAGAAUAAGGAUCGGCUAACUCCGUGCCAGCAGCCGCGGUAAUACGGAGGAUCCAAGCGUUAUCCGGAAUCAUUGGGUUUAAAGGGUCCGUAGGUGGAUAAUUAAGUCAGGGGUGAAAGUUUGCAGCUCAACUGUAAAAUUGCCUUUGAUACUGGUUAUCUUGAAUUAUUGUGAAGUGGUUAGAAUAUGUAGUGUAGCGGUGAAAUGCAUAGAUAUUACAUAGAAUACCAAUUGCGAAGGCAGAUCACUAACAAUAUAUUGACACUGAUGGACGAAAGCGUGGGGAGCGAACAGGAUUAGAUACCCUGGUAGUCCACGCCGUAAACGAUGGAUACUAGCUGUUCGGUUUUCGGAC